ACCACUGACGACCACCAGAGACCCUUGAGGACCACCGACUCAAAUCACUGAGCAUGCGUGAUGGGGAGGAGAAUAUGGAAAUGGAUUCUAAGAAAUGAUUAUCAUAGGACUGCCUUUUCUGAGAAAAAUGAUGAAUAUGUAUGUUUUGAUCCUACAUACCCUGUGUGUUGGUGAUCACCUGGCAUGCACGUUGGGUGGAGCUGAUUCCCUGUGCAUCCAGCGCUGCAAUAAAGAAUGCCUGCCUUUUAACACUACAUUGGUGUUACGAGGUUUAUUCCCGGGUUUCGGUGACAGUUUUUGGCAACCCAGAUGGGACACUGCUUUUGAACCUCGACGGAUCCGUGGGAUCGCAGGACCUCCAGCCGGCACCGGGUAAUUCUCGGGGAGAACCUCAGAUCCCCGGACCGAGGAGCUCUGAGCAAGACCCCUGGGAGAGGAUUCCUCCAAGGAGGAACAGAGUCCAGAAGAAGUGGUGGACAAUGCAGUAACCCCUUUGGUAUGGGCAAGUGAAGUUCCAGGACGAUCCAAACUGGCAGAACUGGCAAAGGUGACUUUAAAACCUGGGGCCAAGCCGGUGCACCCACAGCAAGGAUACUGCGCAUGCCUGCAAGAAGAGGGUCAUGCAGCAGACACGGGUGCAAGACCACUGACGAUCACCAGAGACCCUUGAGGACCACCAACUCAAAUCACUCAGCAUGCGUGAUGGG